UAAAAUGUGGCACAGUGGUUUGACUGCUGGACUGUGACUCUGGAGACCAGGGUUUGAUUCCCAGCUCUGCCA